AGAGUUUGAUCCUGGCUCAGGACGAACGCUGGCGGCGUGCCUAACACAUGCAAGUCUAACGGAGAUUUCAGCAAUGGAAUCUUAGUGGCGAACGGGUGAGUAACGCGUAGACAACCUACCUUCUAGAUGGGGACAACACUGCGAAAGUGGUGCUAAUACCGAAUGUUGUAUUUUGAAUGCAUAUUUAAGAUACUAAAGGUGGCCUCUAUUUAUAAGCUACCACUAGAAGAUGGGUCUGCGUCUGAUUAGCUAGUUGGUGAGGUAACGGCUCACCAAGGCGACGAUCAGUAGCCGGUCUGAGAGGAUGAACGGUCACACUGGGACUGAGACACGGCCCAGACUCCUACGGGAGGCAGCAGUGGGGAAUCUUCCGCAAUGGACGAAAGUCUGACGGAGCAACGCCGCGUGAGUGAAGAAGGUUUUCGGAUCGUAAAACUCUGUUUUCAGGGACGAAUGUGCAAUAUGUAAAUAAUGUGUUGUAAUGACGGUACCUGACAAGAAAGCCACGGCUAACUACGUGCCAGCAGCCGCGGUAAUACGUAGGUGGCAAGCGUUGUCCGGAAUUAUUGGGCGUAAAGCGCGCGCAGGUGGGAUAAUAAGUCUGAUGUUAAAGUUCGGGGCUCAACCCCGUGAAGCAUUUGGAUACUGUUAUUCUUGAGUGCAGGAGAGGAAAGUGGAAUUCCUAGUGUA
rnacentral:rRNA from 1 species